GGAUGGCGAGUUUGAUCCUGGCUCAGGAUAAACGCUGGCGGCGUGCCUAACACAUGCAAGUCGAACGCGCUCCCCUCCUUCGGGAAGGGAGCGAGUGGCGGACGGGUGAGUAAGACGUGGGUCACCUACCUUUCAGUGAGGGAUACCGGCGAGAAAUCGCCGACAAUCCCGCAUACGCUUGGCGCUCUGGAACGAGCGCCAAGCAAAGCUCUGCAAAGGGCGCUGGGAGAUGGGCCCGCGGCCGAUUAGCUGGUUGGUGGGGUAAAAGCUCACCAAGGCGACGAUCGGUAGCUGGUCUGAGAGGACGAUCAGCCACACUGGGAUUGAGAACGGCCCAGACUCCUACGGGGGGCAGCAGUGAGGAAUUUUCGGCAAUGGACGCAAGUCUGACCGAGCAACGCCGCGUGCAGGAGGAAGGUCUUCGGAUCGUAAACUGCUUUUCUCUGGGACGAGGACGGACGGUACCAGAGGAACAAGCCCCGGCUAACUACGUGCCAGCAGCCGCGGUAAUACGUAGGGGGCGAGCGUUGUCCGGAGUUACUGGGCGUAAAGCGCACGCAGGCGGUGCUGCGCGUUUGGGGUUACAGCUCCCGGCUCAACCGGGAGAGCGCCUCGAAGACGGCAGCACUUGAGGGCCAGAGAGGGACACGGAACUCCGGGUGGAGUGGUGAAAUGCGUAGAUAUCCGGAAGAACACCAAAGGCGAAGGCAGUGUCCUGGCUGGUACCUGACGCUCAGGUGCGAAAGCUAGGGGAGCGAACGGGAUUAGAUACCCCGGUAGUCCUAGCCGUAAACGAUGACCACUAGGUGUGCGGGGUAUCGACCCCCUGCGUGCCGCAGCCAACGCAAUAAGUGGUCCGCCUGGGGAGUACGGUCGCAAGAUUAAAACUCAAAGGAAUUGACGGGGACCCGCACAAGCAGCGGAGCGUGUGGUUUAAUUCGAAGCAACGCGAAGAACCUUACCAGGGCUUGACAUGCCGCUGCACCUCCUGGAGACAGGAGUCCCUUCGGGGCGGCGGCACAGGUGCUGCAUGGCUGUCGUCAGCUCGUGCCGUGAGGUGUUGGGUUAAGUCCCGCAACGAGCGCAACCCCUGUCGUCGGUUGGAUCUCUCCGACGAGACUGCCGCGAUCAACGUGGAGGAAGGUGGGGAUGACGUCAAGUCAGCACGGCCCUUACGUCCUGGGCGACACACACGCUACAAUGGUCGGGACAGAGGGAAGCCAACCCGCGAGGGGGAGCCAAUCCCAGCAAAGCCGAUCUCAGUUCGGAUUGGAGGCUGAAACCCGCCUCCAUGAAGGUGGAGUUGCUAGUAACCGUGAGUCAGCCACAUCACGGUGAAUACGUUCCCGGGUCUUGUACACACCGCCCGUCACACCACGAAAGUCGGCAACACCUGAAGCCGCUGGGCUAACCCGAGAGGGAGGCAGGCGUCGAGGGUGGGGUCGGUGAUUGGGGUGAAGUCGUAACAAGGUAGCCGUACCGGAAGGUGCGGCUGGAUCACCUCCUUUCU
rnacentral:rRNA from 1 species